CCCUUAGAUGUUCUGGGCUGCACGCGCGCUACACUGAAGCGUUCAACGAGUAUUCACCUUGCCCGGGAGGGUUGGGUAAUCUUUUGAAAACGCUUCGUGAUGGGGAUAGAUUAUUGCAAUUAUUAAUCUUCAACGAGGAAUUCCUAGUAAGUGCGAGUCAUCAGCUCGCGUUGAUUACGUCCCUGCCCUUUGUACACACCGCCCGUCGCUACUACCGAUUGGGAAAAUUUUAGAGAGUCCUGGACUGAUGAUUGUUCGGCUUCACGGCCUUACUUUCGUCGGGAAAGAAUUCGAUAAUAUUUUUCUAGAGGAAGUAAAAGUCGUAACA
rnacentral:rRNA from 1 species